CGGCGGGGGCGGAGAGCGGCGGGAGCCCGGCCCGGCCCCCGCCGUGACAGGAGGGCACCCGCGGCGCGACAGCGGGCGGCUCCGCGGCGGCAUUUCUGCGGCAGCGUUUCUGCGGCGCCUCUCCGCCCGCGUGCCACGGCACAGAAAACGCGAAUCCGUCGCGGUGCCGUGACGAGCGGCAGAUGGUCGGGGCCUCCCUUCCAGUCCCGCGCACAGCCCUUGCACUCAAUUAAUUUCAAGGCUUCUUGGCAGCGAGACGACCGAUUACUUACAUCGAAGAUUUGGAUACUUCACCGUGGGAAAUUCUGGAUCAGGAUCCUUCUGCUCCGGAACAGCAAAAGGAGGUCUAAGAUCAAAUGCCUUGAAG